GCAACAUUGACAGAGACAGAAUAUGUCUAUUACAAAAACUUGGGAAAUGAUAAUUAAUGUUAUGUUUUCUGUAUUGAAGGACAUAUACAGUAAGUCCCUAUCCUUUUCCUUUGUAAAACAGUUUUAGUGUCCUCAGAGUUUGUCCAUGUCCUGUGUCUCUCCCCACAUUCUCCCCCUGAUCUCAUGUCAUUGUCCCCUUAGCCCCCUUCUUUUCCUUUUGAUUUCUGUGUAGUGUUCAAUACCACUCUUCUGCCAAAUUGCCUGCUACUUUGGAAUCAGCUUUGACUCUCAAAAUAUUCUCUCCUUAAGCCAGGCAUGGUGGUAUGUGCCUGUAGUUUCAAAAAGUGGGAGCUUGGAGCAGGAAGAUCAAGAAUUUGAGGAGGGGGAGGUGCUGCUUUGAGAUUGCUCAGGAUGGGUAAAAGCACUUGUCUGCAUAAGCCUCCACAAAGUUGUCCUCUGAAUUCCCAUUAGUGUACAUGCAUGUACAUUGUGUGUGUGUGUGUGUGUGUGUGAGAGAGAGAGAGAGAGACAGAGACAGAGAGAGAGAGGGAGGGAGAGACAGAGAGAGCACGCAAGUACGUAACACCACCACGAAUAAUAAUUUUAAAGUUAAUUUGUACUGAAGAGAUGCCUCAGUGGGUAAAAGCACUUGGUACCAAGCCUAAUGACCUGAAUUCAGUCCUCAGGACCCAUAUGCCAGCUGUAGCUAUAUAACAAGUUCCAGGUCGGCCUGGGUUAUAUAAUGAGACUCUGUUUC
rnacentral:lncRNA from 1 species